GUAAUGCGAAGAGAUACAGAACAGUACGCGUUAACUGUCAACUCGAAAUUCGUUGCGUGAACGACAACGGUACGCAGUGGUUUGGCAUACUAAAACAAAUACCACAGAGCCGUAUACAACACUUGUCGCAACCACGUUUCAAGAGGUAAUGCACGACGAUACACAGAACAGUUUGCGCUACGCCUGCCAACUCGAGUUUCAUUGAACGAAUGAAAGUAGUAGUAGCACGACCUUGCUUAUACACAGCGCUAAGUACAACGGAGACACCGUAAUAAUAAACACUAAAGCGUCAGUAAAAUAACAAGAAGCAGAGGACAUUCUAAUCCUAGUUCGUCGUUGGACAUUACACAAAAUUAACAAGUAGCAAAGAGGCAAAA